UACAGAGACUGCAAGCGUUAUUCGGAUUCACUGGGCGUAAAGGGUGCGCAGGCGGCCAAGUGUGUGAGGCGUGAAAGCCUGGAGCUUAACUCCAGAAUUGCACCUCAAACUACAUGGCUAGAGCAUUGGAGAGGGUAGCGGAAUUCACGGUGUAGCAGUGAAAUGCGUAGAUAUCGUGAGGAACACCGGUGGCGAAGGCGGCAUCCUGGACCGGCAUUGACGCUGAGGCGCGAAGCCAGGGGAGCAAACGGG
rnacentral:rRNA from 1 species